AGGGUUAGCCAAUUCUUGCCUGAAUUUCUCAAAUUGGACCUCUUGAAGAAGGAGCAGUGCUUCGACAUCUUCAACAGUCGGAGUUUCAAAUCUGCUAUAAAUCAUCAUCACGAAUGAAUUGAACUCCUCUGGUAAUCCUUCAAGAAUAGCAUCUACCUGUUCUUGCACAGAAACGACAUCUCCUACUGCAAUUAGAGAAUUGACGAUCGAUUUGAUUCGCAGU
rnacentral:lncRNA from 1 species